UACGUAGGGUGCAAGCGUUGUCCGGAAUUAUUGGGCGUAAAGGGCUCGUAGGCGGUCCGUCACGUCGGGAGUGAAAUCCUGGGCUUAACCCCAGAACUGCUUCCGAUACGGGCAGACUAGAGGUAGGUAGGGGGAGAAUGGAAUUCCUGGUGUAGCGGUGGAAUGCGCAGAUAUCAGGAGGAACACCAGUGGCGAAGGCGGUUCUCUGGGCCUCACCUGACGCUGAGGAGCGAAAGCGUGGGGAGCAAACAGG
rnacentral:rRNA from 1 species